rnacentral:rRNA from 1 species
GAUGAACGCUGGCGGCGUGCUUAACACAUGCAAGUCGAACGAAGCAUUUGCGACAGAUUUUUUCGGAAUGAAGUUGCUUAUGACUGAGUGGCGGACGGGUGAGUAACUCGUGGGUAACCUGCCUUUUACUGGGGGAUAUCAGCUUGAAACGGCUGGUAAUACCGCAUAAGCGCACAAUGUUUCAUGACCUUGUGUGAAAAACUCCGGUGGUAUAAGAUGGACCCGCGUCUGAUUUGCUAGUUGGUGAGAUAACAGCCCACCAAGGCGACGAUCAGUAGCCGAGAGGAGAGGGAGACCGGACACAUUGGGACUGAGACACGGCACAGAAUCCUACGGGAGGCAGCAGUGGGGAAUAUUGCAAAAUGGAGGAAACUCUGAUGCAGCGACGCCGGGUGAGUGAAGAAGUAAUUCGUUAUGUAAAGCUCUAUCAGAAGGGAAGAUAGUGACGGUACCUGAAGAAGAAGCUCCGGCUAAAUACGUG